GGGAUACUGAGUCCCACUCCCUCCGUAUGCAACCCACUGGAAAACCAAGGCAAACACAAGAAAAUCCCCCACUUCAUCACAGCUAUGUCUGGGUGACCCCCCUGCCUCCGAGCCCCAUGGGCAGGCAGUGCCAACCCUGGUAGGGGACAGACUCCUAGAGAGGCCGAAAGACGGGUGGACUGAAUUGGGGUGGAGGGGAGGCGGGGGGGGGGUGUCUCCUCUGUUUAACUCCUGUCUCUUGUUCAAAGCAGGGCGUGAAUUUCUCAAACCCACCAUCUGGGUGAUCGCCAGCACGGUGGUGGCACUCGGGGGAAGCAUCACCAUCCGCUGUGCGGGUUGGUACCCGGGCAUGACGUUCUUUCUGCGUAAAGCUGGACACCUGAACCUGCAGGUGCGGCUGGUACCUGAUGGGACCGUGGCUGAAUUUCCCAUCCCCAAUGUCACCCGGGAAGAUGGAGGGAGCUACACCUGUGACGGUCACUCAAUAACAGAUCAGAGUCACUGGUCGUAUCUGAGCAACCCCGUCGAGAUCAUUGUAGCAGUCAGACAACGCACCUGAACAGUCUGGGAUAGAGAGAACCCCGACAGAUUUGGCACUCCCGAUGGGACCUGUCUGACUCUCGGGCGAGGGGGUCCGUCUCCGACGCAACGCAGCGCGCAUCCUUCAAUUGAGAGGAGCCUGGCCCAGGAGUCGGAUCUCACGCAUAAGGCGUCGUCCCAUGAACCAGCCUGAGCCCGUUUAAAUCCAGCAACGUCCACCUGCCCUUUGAGCAGGAGUCCCGGGACCUAGACCGGGCCACGAACCCCGCUGUUGCUUUCCUCAGGCCCUCUGUGCCGGCAACAGGCUCCUAGACCCAUGCAGCACAUUCAAAUUCAUUUUACUGACUUACCCGCUCAGAAGGAAAGCCACUGCCAAAGCCGUUUGCAAGGUGCUUCUGAAUGAGAUCCUGCCAAGGUUUGGCCCUCCUGAAAAAUUAAUUCUGACCAGGGAACGCAUUUUACAGCAAAAAUGUGCAAGAAACUCACUGAAGCGGUUGGGCCAAAAUGGGUUUUUCAUGCCCCCUGGUAUCCUCAGAGCUCGGGCCAGGUGGAGCAUGUGAAUGGAACUCUAAAGACCACCCUAACCAAGUUGUGUAAGAAACUUAAGAUCAAAUGGACUAAAGUUUUUCCUUUUGGCUUCGUAUAUUGUCUGGACUACCCCGAAUUCCAGGACUAAGCUAGCACCCUUUGAGAUACUUUUUGGACAUGUACCACCUCUUUUUACUUCUCCGGUUUCAAUACCUAGUGACCCUGAUCUGCCUUGUGAAACAAAAACUUAUGUAAAAGCUUUGCAGCAGCAUUUAACUACAUGACAACGGUACUCAGUGCAGUCUCAAUCUUUACCGUUGUGGGGAGCUGUUCAUUCCAUUUCGCCAGGUGACCCAGUGUGGAUCAAAGCUUACUGAAAGACUCCACUUCAACCCCAGUGGUUAGAACCAUUCGAGACUAUCCUGGUGAGCCCUCCUGCUGUUCGGGUCAAGGAACGUCCCGCUUGGAUUCAUCAUACCAGAGUCAAACAGAGCCUCGCUAGGGAGCCCGACCUGGUAAAGGGUUACCCAGAAGCAGAUGGCGUCAGACUUCGAGGGAGCCACACACGUUCACCCCACUGCGAACUGGGUGAGCCAGAAGCAGACGACCCCUGUGCCCAGGACAAAUGGACUGCUACUCCUUUGGGCGACCUGAGGCUAAAAUUCAAGAAGUAGACUGGUGCCCAUUCCCCAAGGAAUGGCAACGAACAGUCGCCUGGGGAGUUGGUGGACUCAUUUGUGCAUUGUUUGUUGUUUUUCUUUUGUGGUGGUUGAAGUAACUAGGGGAUAUGAACAUAAGGCCUUUAUUCGCUUUGCUCAUGAAAUGAAAGCCCGUAUGCCAGCACUGAAUAACAUUUCACGUUGGGUAUGCCCCUGUAGUGAGGCGGCCUGGCUCCCAGCCGCUCCUGAGAGGGAUGAGCCAGAACAGCCGCCACAGUGGGCGGAGCCACUGCCGCCUGUCCCCGCCCCCCGGAAGUCAAGGGG